rnacentral:rRNA from 1 species
UACAGAGGGGGCAAGCGUUGUUCGGAAUUACUGGGCGUAAAGGGCGCGUAGGCGGCCUUCUAAGUCAGACGUGAAAUCCCUCGGCUCAACCGGGGAACUGCGUCUGAUACUGGGCGGCUUGAAUUCGGGAGAGGAAUGCGGAAUUCCAGGUGUAGCGGUGAAAUGCGUAGAUAUCUGGAGGAACACCGGUGGCGAAGGCGGCAUUCUGGACCGACAUUGACGCUGAGGCGCGAAAGCCAGGGGAGCAAACGGG